rnacentral:rRNA from 1 species
UACGGGGGGGCAAGCGUUGUCGGAAUUACUGGGCGUAAAGGGCGCGUAGGCGGUUUGCUAAGUCGAAUGUGAAAACUCUGGGCUUAACCCAGAGCCUGCAUUCGAUACUGGCAGGCUAGAGUUCUGGAGGGGAUAGCGGAAUUCCUGGUGUAGCGGUGAAAUGCGUAGAUAUCAGGAGGAACACCGGUGGCGAAGGCGGCUAUCUGGACAGAGUCUGACGCUGAUGCGCGAAAGGCUAAGGGGAGCAAACCAGG